GUCAAGUCAUCAUCGGCCCUUACGGCCGUGGCUACACACGUGCUACAAUGGUCGGUACAAAGGGUUGCCAAGCCGCGAGGUGGAGCUAAUCCCAUAAAACCGAUCGUAGUCCGGAUCGCAGUCUGCAACUCGACUGCGUGAAGUCGGAAUCGCUAGUAAUCGUGAAAUCAGAAUGUCACGGUGAAUACGUUCCCGGGCCUU
rnacentral:rRNA from 1 species